rnacentral:rRNA from 1 species
CCUACGGGAGACAGCAGUGAGGAAUAUUGGUCAAUGGUCGGGAGACUGAACCAGCCAAGCCGCGUGAGGGAUGAAGGUACAGAGUAUCGUAAACCUCUGUUGUCAGGGAACAAAGGCGGGGACGUGUCCCCGGAGGAGUGUACCUGAAGAAAAAGCAUCGGCUAACUCCGUGCCAGCAACCGCGGUAAUACGGAGGAGGCGAGCGUUAUCCGGAUUUAUUGGGGUAAAGGGGUGCGAAGGCGGUCUGUUAAGUCGGCGGUAAAAGCCCGGGGCUCAACCCCGGCCCGCCGUUGAAACUGGCAGUCUCGAGUUGGAGAGAAGUAUGCGGAAUGCGCGGGGUAGCGGUGAAAUGCAUAGAUAUCGCGCAGAACUCCGAUUGCGAAGGCAGCAUGCCGGCUCCACACUGACGCUGAGGCACGAAAGCGUGGGUAUCGAACAGGAUUAGAUACCCGUGUAGUC